GGAACAAGCAAAGAAACUUGUGUUGGUGUC
rnacentral:piRNA from 1 species